GGGAACUCGAAAUCUGCGACGCCCUCCCCACCUUCCUCCCCGUCCAAACCCUAACCCUAAAAUUCAAAAUCAAUCCCCUCAUCUCCCCGUCGAUGGCGGCGGCGGCCAAGGCCGACGGCCAGGACAAGGUCAUCGCCACCGCCCAGCACAUCGUCAAGAGCCUCGCCAGCUCCAAGUUCGCCGAGGAGGACAUGAUCCGCAUCCUCUCCGGCUUCGACAACCGCCUCUCCGAUCUCUUCCCCUCCACCGCCCCCGCCCCCACCCCCUCCACCAGCUCCCCGCC
rnacentral:misc_RNA from 1 species